rnacentral:rRNA from 1 species
UACAGAGGUCCCAAGCGUUGUUCGGAUUCAUUGGGCGUAAAGGGUGCGUAGGUGGCGCUGUAAGUCGGGUGUGAAAUUUCGGAGCUUAACUCCGAAACUGCAUUCGAUACUGCGGUGCUUGAGGACUGGAGAGGAGACUGGAAUUCAUGGUGUAGCAGUGAAAUGCGUAGAGAUCAUGAGGAAGACCAGUGGCGAAGGCGGGUCUCUGGACAGUUCC